rnacentral:lncRNA from 1 species
CCGGGGGUUAUAUGUAAUGUAUAGAUCUUCCAAUCUAGAAGUGGUACAUGAUCAAUGAUAACACUCAAACUACUCCUCUCUUAUGAGAGUGUAAGCGAUCAUUGUCAAUAAAUAACCCAACUAGGUUGGGGUCGAAUCCCACAGGGAAUAGGGUGUGAAUUUGAGUUAUCUGCGGGUUAAUCAACUGAUAGUUACCAGUUUCCUAUGAAUGGGGUUUUUUGGAAGUGUAACAAAUAAUUA